UACGGGGGGGGCAAGCGUUGUUCGGAAUUACUGGGCGUAAAGGGCUCGUAGGCGGCCAUCUAAGUCGGACGUGAAAUCCCCAGGCUCAACCUGGGAACUGCGUCCGAUACUGGAUGGCUUGAAUUCGGGAGAGGGAUGCAGAAUUCCAGGUGUAGCGGUGAAAUGCGUAGAUAUCUGGAGGAAUACCGGUGGCGAAGGCGGCAUCCUGGACCGACAUUGACGCUGAUGAGCGAAAGCCAGGGGAGCAAACGGG
rnacentral:rRNA from 1 species